AGGAGAAGGCGGACGCCGUGGGCUUGCUGCAUGGCUACAGCCGAGGCGGAGGAGAAGGUGGACGCCGUGGGCGUUCAUGGAGGAUGGUACGCCGGCCGCCUGCGCCGGCCGCCAGUCCUCUCUGGCCUCCUCCGUGGUAUCCUUCUCAACCUCCGUUGCUCCUGUCGUGAUUUGGAUGGAAAAUUGGAGGCCGGCCGUGUCCUUCUCCAACACAAAUUGAUGUAGUGCCCGACCCGGAUUUGAUUGGCUGCUAUAAGAAGCAAGGGUCCUCGGCCGGAAUCUCCAUCUGGUUUUGCCUUUCGACCAUAAUCUCCAUCAUCCCAUCGAAAUUGCAAUUUUUGACCAAACAUCCAAUGUCGCCGCCAAGUUCGCUGGAGGAAGAAGCGCCGACUUCGCCGGAGGAACAAGCGCCGAGUUCGCUGGAGGAACAAGAACGCCCGCCGAGUCCUGUGGUGGCUACACGAGAGGCCCUUAAGAUGAGUAAUGAACAUCCGUUGAGCCGUCCAAUGUUGCCUGUGGCAACUACACCAGAGGUAUGAAUCCCCUUCAUAUUAGUUUGCAUAUGUGAGCCCUGGUACAUGUAUAAUGCGUCUAUUACUGUGACACUUUUCUCCAUAUAUACCUUGUAAUACUUUGUUUUAUCUAAUAGAAGCUGGGUGUUUUCCCUUCUGUCAGGGAAAGAAAAUUUAGAAGAGCAUGAAGUACAUGCUCAUUUUCGUAUAUAUUUUAGGAUCAUUGCAUAGUGAGGAACAUUAAGGUUAUACUUAAAAGAUGAGAGCAUAUUCUUCAAGCUGAGAAGUAAACUAGAAUUGCCAAGAAUCACAAUCAUCAUAGUUAUCAGCCAUGCAAGAGAUCAAAUGCCAGGUCUAAAAGUUCAACUCAAAGAACUAAGAACAAAUAGGACUGCUUUUUUAGGUAACUGUGCAUUUUGAUGUAAUAAGCCUAGACAACGGUCUGUAUAUCAGAAAACUUGGUUUUGGAGUGAUUGAUCUCCAUGUAAUUCAAAUAUAUAGUGGCAUAAUUCGCAUUACUAUUCCUUGAUCUUCCUCCUUGCCGAAUUUAUGAUUGUCUUAUACUAUAUCUGUCGACUUCGCAACCAUCGUCUCCUUUGACUUCACCGCCAUCGUCUCCAUCGACUUCGCCGCAAGACAAUCUGUCACCGCCUCCGCCGAUUUUGCCGGAAGACCAUCAGUCGUCGCCUAGACCUACUUUGAGAAAAUAGAUGACAGCACUGUAACUUAAUAUUACAAAGAACAUUGAAGAGGACUUUGAUAACCGACCUUCAAAAAAAGAAAAAAAUUCUGAAUCAAGUGUUCUGGAGCCAUCACCUAUGUCACCAACUAUGUCAACAUGUACUCCAGUUUCUGAGUGUUUUGAAUCGAUUGUGCCAAAAUCAGAUAAUCAGAUAGAUUGUGGUCCAUUGCCAUCACCUCCAUCCCCAUCUAGCUCGACAUUAUCAAGAACAUCGGUCGAGCCGUACAAUGGUGCCUGCAGCGGUUACACCAGAGGUAUUUAUCCCCUUGAUGAAAGCUAAUCACUGGAUGUAAUCCCCUGUUUUAGUUGUUGUUUCUGUCCUGGUUAUACAGGCAGUUUUCAACAGCAGCAAACUAGCAUGCCCAGUCUGAACUUUUAGAAUGUUUUCCCAGUUCAUGUUCAACUUUGAUCCUUUUUCCAGUUAAAGUUCCAAGCAACUUUCCUGUGUGAAU